UACAGAGGUCUCAAGCGUUGUUCGGAAUCACUGGGCGUAAAGGGUGCGUAGGCCGCACGGUAAGUCAGAGGUGAAAUCCCGGAGCUCAACUUCGGAAUUGCCUCCGAUACUGCCGUGCUUGAGGACUGGAGAGGAGUCUGGAAUUCACAGUGGAGCAGUGAAAUGCGUAGAUAUCGUAAGGAAGACCAGUGGCGAAGGCGGGUCUCUGGACAGUUCCUGACGCUGAGGCACGAAGGUCAGGGGAGCAAACGGG
rnacentral:rRNA from 1 species